ACUUAUCAAAGCAGAGAGUGCUAAUCAAUAUUAAGCCCUUCUCUUCGAACUGUAGAUGGCAUGUAAUUGCAGUUGUCAAUGGUCCUUCAAUUAGACUUGGGUUUCUGACCUAUCACACCCUCUUUGCUUUAUUGCAUGGGGUACUAUUCACUUAAGGCCCCUUUCUCAAACUGUUAAUGUGCCUAAUGACAAUUACAUCAGUAUCCUUCCUUUUGAAGGACAGCAUGGUUGGUGACACCUAAGGCCCCAUUUCUUGGCCUCCCAAUAUGUGUGAUUGUAUUUGUCGAGGUUGCUAUGCACUAGAGAAGGAAAGUGCUCCCCUCAUCCCCACUUUUCCCUUCCAGCAGGAAGUGCCCACCCCAUAAGACCCUUUUAUUUGGAGAGUCUAGGUGCACAAUUGUAAGUGACCACAAGCAUGCAUCUUGGACAUUUAUGUGCGUAAUCGCACACUGCUCAUUCCAUGUGAAUAAGGUCCUACUCUCCGACCCCUUUUGCAAUACAGAAGGGUUGCUGAUAACGCAGUCCCCUUUUCUUGGCAUGUUGUGUGUGAUUAUAAUCGUCUGGGAUCCUAUGCACUAGAAAAGGAGGGUCCUCUCCACAUACCUCAGUCUCACCUUUCCCUUCCAGCAGGGAGUGCCCACUCCAUAAGACUCUCACAUUUGGACAGUCAAGGUGCGUAAUUGUUAAGUGAACACAACCAUGCACCUUAGACAUGGAUUUGCAUAACUACACACAGCUCAACCUAUCUGAAUAAAAUCCUACUCUCAGACCCCUUUUGCAGUACAGCAGGGGUGCUGAUCACCAAGGCCCUUUUUCCUGGCCUGGUAUGCGUGUGAUUAUGUUUGUCCCGGUUCCUGUGUAUUAGACAUGGAAGCCUCCCCUGCCACACUCCACCCCCAAUCUUCCUUUCCCUUCCGGCAGGGAGUGCCCUCUCCAUAAGACGCUUACGUUUGGACAAUCAAGGUGCACAGUUGUAAGUGACCACAGGCAUACACCUUGGACAUUAAUGUGCAUAACCACUUUGCCCAUUCCAUCUGAAUAAGGUCCUACUCUCAGACCCCUUUUGCAGUACAGCAGGGGUGCUGAUCACCAAGGCCCCUUUUCUUGGCCUGUUAUGUGCGUGAUUAUAUUUGUCUGGGUUCCUGUGUAUUAGACAAGGAAGCCUUCCCCCCGCCCCCACCCCCACUCCCAGUCUUCCUUUCCCUUCCAGCAGGGAGUGCCCCCUCCAUAAGAUCAUUACAUUUGGACAAUCAAGGUGCACAAUUAUAAGUGACCACAGCCAUGCACCUUGGACAUUAUUGGACAUUAAUGUGCGUAACUGCACAUGGCCCAUCCCAUCUGAAUAAGGUCCUACUCUCAGAUGCCCUUUGCAGUACAGCAGGGGUACUGAAUCACCAAGGCCCUUUUUCUUGGCCUGUUAUGUGUGUGAUUAUAUUUAUCCCAGUUUCUGUGUAAUAGACAUGAAAGCCUCCCCUGCCACACCCCACCUCCAAUCUUCCUUUCCCUUCCACCAGGGAGUGUCCACUCCAUAUACCCUUACAUUUGGACAAUCAAGGUGCACAAUUGUAAGUGAGCAUAGGCACUCACCUUGGACAUGAAUGUGCAUAACUGCACAUGGCCCAUCCCAUCUGAAUAAGGUCCUACUCUCAGACCCUUUUUGCAGUACAGCAGGGGUGCUGAUCACCAAGGCCCCUUUUCCUGGCCUGUUAUGUGUGUGAUUAUAUUUGUUCCAGUUCCUGUGUAAUAGACAUGGAAGCCUCCCCUGCCACACUCCACCCCCAAUCUUCCUUUCCCUUCUGGCAGGAAGUACCCGCUCCAUAAGACCCUUACAUUUGGACAGUCAAGGUGCACAAUUGUAUGUGACCACAACCAUGCACCUUGGACAUAAAUGUGUGUAACUGCACAUGGCCCAUCCCAUCUGAAUAAGGUCCUACUCUCAGACCCCUUUUGCAGUACAGUAGGUGUGCUGAUAACCAAGGCCCCUCUUCCUGGCCUGUUAACGUAUGUGAUUAUAUUUGUCUGGGUUCCAGUGUAUAAGACAUGGAAGCCUCCCCUGCCCCACCCCACCCUCAAUCUUCCUUUCCCUUCUGGCAGGGAGUGCCAGCUCCAUAAGAACCUUACAUUUGGACAGUCAAGGUGCACAAUUCUAAGUGACCGCAGCCAUGCACCUUGGUCAAUAAUGUGUGUAACUGCACACGGCCUAUCUCAUCUGAAUAAGGCCUUACUCUCAGACCCCUUUUGCAGUACAGCAGGGGUGCUGAUAACCAAGGCCCAUUUUCCUGGCCUGUUAUGUGUGUGAUUAUAUUUGUCCAGGUUUCUGUGUACUAGACAAGGAAGCCUCCUCUGCCCCAUCCCAUCUACGCAUAAUCUUUCUUUUCCUCCCAGCAGGGAGUGCUCACUCCAUAAGACCCUUACAUUUGGACAAUCAAGGUGCACAAUUGUAAGUGACCACAACCAUGCAUCUUGGAAAUUUAUGUGCAUAACUGCACAUGGCUUAUCCUAUUUGAAUAAAGUCCUACUCUCAGACCCCCUUUGCAGUAUAGCUGGGGUGCUGAUCACUGAGGCCUCUUUGCUUGGCUUGUCUAUAUUCUUGUGUACUAGAUAAGGGCACCUUCUCAUGGACUCCCUUUGCUUUUCAACAAGGAGUACCCACUACUUUUUAAGAUUCUUAUAUUUGUCCAAAGUACAUGGUUUUAAUUGACCACAACAAUGUCCCUUGGACAUUAAUGUAUGUAAUCACCACAUGGUUCAUCCUAAUUAAACAAAGUUCUACCUUCUCACCCUCCAUUUGCAGUAUACCAGGGUUGCUGACCCCCUAAGUCCCCUUUUCUUGGCUUGUUGACAUGCAUAAUUGCAUUUAUGUUGGUUCUUGUGCCCUAGACAAGGAUGCCCCACCUCUUUUCAAUAGUGGGUGCCCACUCCUUAUGAUCUUUACAUUUGAACAGUUAAUGUGAAUAAUUGCAGUUGUCCACAACCCUAUCACUUCUAGGACCAUUAUACCUCUUUUGCAUUACUGUGGGGUAUACUGUUUCCCUCCAAGGCCCCUUCUGGUGGACUAUCAACAUAUAAUUGAAAUUUUCUUUUGUCUUUGUCAGUAGAUUAAGGUCAUACCCCAUCACCUUUCCUUUGUAGUACAACAGGGUGUCCUGAUCAACCAAAGUCCUGUUGUUUUGGACUGUUAAUAUGUGCAAUUACAUUUGCUCCUGAUCUGUGCACUAGAUAAGGAUCCUACCUACUUUCUUAGUGUUUUUAGCAGGUAGUGCCCACUACUCAAGACUGUCACUUGGAAUGUUCAUGUGCACAAACUCAAUUCUCUAAGCAUGUUCCUGUACCACCUUUGCUUUAGAGCAGGGGGAUGAUAUUCACUAAGUGCCCCUUCUUUUGGACUUAAUAUGCAUUAAUGCAAUUGUCCACCUCUUCUUUUAGACUAAGAGUUGAUCUCCACAUAUUCCCCUUGCAUCAGGGGCAUGUUAAUUAUGAAUGAACCCUUUUCUUUUAAUAUUAAUGUCAUAAUUGUAUUUGUGGACCUGUGUAGGAGAAAAAGACCCUAUGUUCCUCCCAUUACCCUUUGGAUUGCUGCUGAGAAGUGUUAACUACUCAUAAUCUCAGCUCUUGGACAAUUAAUAGCAUUAAUAACAAUUAUCAAGGGCACUGAUCAUUAGAUAAGACUCCUGCUUCCUCGUUGCUUACAUCGGGGGUACUGACCCACUAAGGCCCCUUGUACUGUUAAUGUGAAUAUUUGCAAUUAUAUAUGUCUCCUUCUGGUAGAGUGGGAUAUUAUGCCCUAGUAUCCCCUUUGCAUUACUGCAGGGGCUGCUGACUACUCAAAACUUCUCCUGGGACUGUUAAUAGGCACAAUGGCAGUUAUCAAUGGUUUUCUCCCUCCCUGACCUUGUUAAGCAAGCGCCCCACCCCACCCUUAGUUUCCCAUGGCAUAAUAAAGUAUAAGCAUUGGAGUAUUCCAUGCACUUGUCUAUCAAACAGUGGUCCAUACUCCCAACCCUUUUGCAUUGCGCCAGUGUGUAAAAUCACAGGUAGCCAUGGUGUCAUGCUUUAUAUACGAAGUCUUCCCUCUCUCUGCCCCUUGUGUGCCCUUGGCCCCUUUUUACAGACUAUUGCUCACAAUCUCAGGUGUCCAUAUUUGCAGCUAUUAGGUAAGAUUGUGCUGUCUCCCUCUUCCCUUCCCUCUGCCCUGCCCCUUUUGCCUCUUUGCUGGGUAAUGUUGACCAGACAAGGCCCUUUCUCUUGGACUUAAACAAUUCUCAGUUGCACUUUCCUUGGUCCCACCCAUUAUACAUGAACCCCUCUACUUCCUUUCGCAUUGCUUCUGAGUAUGCUGACUACCCAAAGCCCCUUCUGUGUUAUUAAUAAACACAGUACUGAUUGUCCCAUUUUUCAGCCCAUCAGUCCAAGAUCUCCCUACCACUUUGGUGUGUUGGUGCAGUGUUGACUAUGAAAAGCAGGCCUGAACUAGGUGGAUAAGCCUUCACUCAUUUUCUUUCAUUUAUUAAUGAUCCUAGUUUCAAUUAUUGUCAGAUUCUGGGGACAAGAACCAUUCUUGCCCACCUGUGUUACUGCUUUACUGUGCAAAAUACUGAAGGCAAGUCAGACCCAGGGAGCUGGAUUGCCAUCCUUUAUUUUGUGUUUCCAGUGUACACUAUAAAAUUGUCUCCCCAGGAAGGAAGGUUGGCACUUUCUCUGCAUUCUUCUUUCCAGAGCAGAUUGCCUGGUUAAGAAUCUCUUGUUGUCCCCUUUGUAUAUUGUUAUUGUAAAGUGCCAAAUGCCAGGAUACAGCCAGAAAAAUUGCUUAUUAUUAUUAAAAAAAUUUUUUUAAGAAAGACAUCUGGAUUGUAGGGUGGACUCGAUAACCUGGUCAUUAUUUUUUUGAAGCCAAAAUAUCCAUUUAUACUAUGUACCUGGUGACCAGUGUCUCUCAUUUUAACUGAGGGUGGUGGGUCUGUGGAUAGAACACUGACUCUUGCUAUUUUAAUAUCAAAGAUAUUCUAGAGUGGAACUCUUAAGACCAGUAUCUUUGUGUGGGCUUUACCAGCAUUCACUUUUAGAAAAACUACCUAAAUUUUAUAAUCCUUUAAUUUCUUCAUCUGGAGCACCUGCCCCUACUUAUUUCAAGAAGAUUGCAGUAAAACGAUUAAAUGAGGGAACAUAUGCAGAGGUGCUUUUAAAAAGCAUAUGCCACCUUUUUUAUUAAUUAUUAUAUAAAAUGAAGCAUUUAAUUAUAGUAAUAAUUUGAAGUAGUUUGAAGUACCACACUGAGGUGAGGACUUAAAAAUGAUAAGACGAGUUCCCUAUUUUAUAAGAAAAAUAAGCCAAAAUUAAAUAUUCUUUUGGAUAUAAAUUUCAACAGUGAGAUAGCUGCCUAGUGGAAAUGAAUAAUAUCCCAGCCACUAGUGUACAGGGUGUUUUGUGGCACAGGAUUAUGUAAUAUGGAACUGCUCAAGCAAAUAACUAGUCAUCACAACAGCAGUUCUUUGUAAUAACUGAAAAAGAAUAUUGUUUCUCGGAGAAGGAUGUCAAAAGAUCGGCCCAGCUCAGGGAGCAGUUUGCCCUACUAGCUCCUCGGACAGCUGUAAAGAAGAGUCUCUGGCUCUUUAGAAUACUGAUCCCAUUGAAGAUACCACGCUGCAUGUGUCCUUAGUAGUCAUGUCUCCUUAGGCUCCUCUUGGACAUUCUGAGCAUGUGAGACCUGAGGACUGCAAACAGCUAUAAGAGGCUCCAAAUUAAUCAUAUCUUUCCCUUUGAGAAUCUGGCCAAGCUCCAGCUAAUCUACUUGGAUGGGUUGCCAGCUAUCUGGAGAAAAAGGUGGAGAUGGGGCAUGAGGAUCCUCCAGGGGAAAAGCUCACUACCACUGGGCAACAACCCUAGGUCAGGAGGUUCUGUCAAGAUACUUUCCUGGUCCCAGAUAGGAAGAUAAAGUCUCAAAAACAACCACCACACGUCAAGCUCUUCAUUGUUCCUAUCUGCCAAAUCAUUAUACUUCCUACAAGCAGUGCAGAGAGCUGAGUCUUCAGCAGGUCCAAGAAAUUUGAACACACUGAAGGAAGUCAGCCUUCCCACCUGAAGAUCAACAUGCCUGGCACUCUAGCACUUGAGGAUAGCUGAAUGAAUGUGUAUUUCUUUGUCUCUUUCUUUCUUGUCUUUGCUCUUUGUUCUCUAUCUAAAGUGUGUCUUACCCAUUUCCAUGUUUCUCUUGCUAAUUUCUUUCGUGUGUGCCUUUGCCUCAUUUUCUCUUUUUGUUCACAAGAGUGGUCUGUGUCUUGUCUUAGACAUAUCUCUCAUUUUUCAUUUUGUUGCUAUUUCUCUUUGCUCUCCUAGAUGUGGCUCUUCUUUCACGCUUUAUUUCAUGUCUCCUUUUUGGGUCACAUGCUGUGUGCUUUUUGUCCUUUUCUUGUUCUGUCUACCUCUCCUUUCUCUGCCUACCUCUCUUUUCUCUUUGUGAACUGUGAUUAUUUGUUACCCCUUCCCCUUCUCGUUCGUUUUAAAUUUCACCUUUUUUCUGAGUCUGGCCUCCUUUCUGCUGUUUCUACUUUUUAUCUCACAUUUCUCAUUUCUGCAUUUCCUUUCUGCCUCUCUUGGGCUAUUCUCUCUCUCCUCCCCUGCGUGCCUCAGCAUCUCUUGCUGUUUGUGAUUUUCUAUUUCAGUAUUAAUCUCUGUUGGCUUGUAUUUGUUCUCUGCUUCUUCCCUUUCUACUCACCUUUGAGUAUUUCAGCCUCUUCAUGAAUCUAUCUCCCUCUCUUUGAUUUCAUGUAAUCUCUCCUUAAAUAUUUCUUUGCAUAUGUGGGCAAGUGUACGUGUGUGUGUGUCAUGUGUGGCAGAGGGGCUUCCUAACCCCUGCCUGAUAGGUGCAGAACGUCGGCUAUCAGAGCAAGCAUUGUGGAGCGGUUCCUUAUGCCAGGCUGCCAUGUGAGAUGAUCCAAGACCAAAACAAGGCCCUAGACUGCAGUAAAACCCAGAACUCAAGUAGGGCAGAAGGUGGAAGGCUCAUAUGGAUAGAAGGCCCAAAGUAUAAGACAGAUGGUUUGAGACUUGAGACCCGAGGACUAAGAUGGAAAGCCCAUGUUCCAAGAUAGAUAGAAGCCUCAGGCCUGAAACCAACAAAAGCCUCAAGAGCCAAGAAAACAGAGGGUGGCCUGAAUUGGACCGAAGGCCUGAGUUGGAUGGAAGUCUCAAGGCUUGAGUUAGAAGUCUUAAGACCUGGGACAGGACACAUGGAAGGCCUAAGAACUGAGACUUGUGACACAAGGCCAACGACCUAAGAUUAGCCCAGGGUUGUAGCUGGAAGACCUACAACCCAAGGAUGGAAGGCCCCUGUCACAAAGCCUACCUAGAUGGAUAGAGGACCCAAGCGAAAAAGGUAUCUCAAGACUAACGGCCGGAAUCUGGAGGCCCAUGACCCAGAACCCAGGAAGGAUAGAAGCUUGAAGACCUGGGGAAAUCCCAAGAUGAGAACCCUAAACCCUACCUCUUUUCUAUUGUUUACACUUCUUACUCUUAGAUAUUUCCAGUUCUCCUGUUUAUCUUUAAGCCUGAUUCUUUUGAGAUGUACUUUUUGAUGUUGCCGGUUACCUUUAGAUUGACAGUAUUAUGCCUGGGCCAGUCUUGAGCCAGCUUUAAAUCACAGCUUUUACCUAUUUGUUAGGCUAUAGUGUUUUGUAAACUUCUGUUUCUAUUCACAUCUUCUCCACUUGAGAGAGACACCAAAAUCCAGUCAGUAUCUAAUCUGGCUUUUGUUAACUUCCCUCAGGAGCAGACAUUCAUAUAGGUGAUACUGUAUUUCAGUCCUUUCUUUUGACCCCAGAAGCCCUAGACUGAGAAGAUAAAAUGGUCAGGUUGUUGGGGAAAAAAAAGUGCCAGGCUCUCUAGAGAAAAAUGUGAAGAGAUGCUCCAGGCCAAUGAGAAGAAUUAGACAAGAAAUACACAGAUGUGCCAGACUUCUGAGAAGCACCUGCCAGCAACAGCUUCCUUCUUUGAGCUUAGUUUCUGGCAUCACUACCACUACUGAUUAAACAAGAAUAAGAGAACAUUUUAUCAUCAUCUGCUUUAUUCACAUAAAUGAAGUUGUGAUGAAUAAAUCUGCUUUUAUGCAGACACAAGGAAUUAAGUGGCUUCGUCAUUGUCCUUCUACCUCAAAGAUAAUUUAUUCCAAAAGCUAAGAUAAAUGGAAGACUCUUGAACUUGUGAACUGAUGUGAAAUGCAGAAUCUCUUUUGAGUCUUUGCUGUUUGGAAGAUUGAAAAAUAU
rnacentral:lncRNA from 1 species